rnacentral:ncRNA from 1 species
AUCGCCAGCACCUUGGCGAUGUAGGGGAUCAGCGGCAGGUUCAGGAUCAAGAGCACCAGGUUGCCGAUAUACAUCGAGAUGAUCACCGCCCAGAAGAUGUUCGGGCUGUCGAUCAUUAGCCGCGGCCC